rnacentral:rRNA from 1 species
AACUACUGGAAACGGUAGCUAAUACCGCAUAACGUCGCAAGACCAAAGAGGGGGACCUUCGGGCCUCUUGCCAUCGGAUGUGCCCAGAUGGGAUUAGCUAGUAGGUGGGGUAACGGCUCACCUAGGCGACGAUCCCUAGCUGGUCUGAGAGGAUGACCAGCCACACUGGAACUGAGACACGGUCCAGACUCCUACGGGAGGCAGCAGUGGGGAAUAUUGCACAAUGGGCGCAAGCCUGAUGCAGCCAUGCCGCGUGUAUGAAGAAGGCCUUCGGGUUGUAAAGUACUUUCAGCGGGGAGGAAGGGAGUAAAGUUAAUACCUUUGCUCAUUGACGUUACCCGCAGAAGAAGCACCGGCUAACUCCGUGCCAGCAGCCGCGGUAAUACGGAGGGUGCAAGCGUUAAUCGGAAUUACUGGGCGUAAAGCGCACGCAGGCGGUUUGUUAAGUCAGAUGUGAAAUCCCCGGGCUCAACCUGGGAACUGCAUCUGAUACUGGCAAGCUUGAGUCUCGUAGAGGGGGGUAGAAUUCCAGGUGUAGCG